GGAAGGGGAGGAGGAAGGGGAGGACGGCAAAGAGAUCCUCCAAAUCCUCAGGUUCAAAUUCAACACCGCACGUACCUCCGCACACUCCAUCUCCUCAGUUACCAAAAUUAUAAAAAGGCUUCAAAAGCCCAUAAUGAAAGCACCUGCAUGAACAAAGCUCAUCACCAUCCGGUUUCGGGGGCGGAGGAGGGUUCCACCUAAGCAGCCCCAUCUAGGAUUUAAAGAGGUUACUAUGGGACACCCGUUACGUUUCCAUGGUUGCACUCGUUUGGGUCUGCAUCUGAAUCAGCUGCUGCCGCCGUUCCCACCGCCCUGCAUGGAAGAGGCGUGGAGCUUUCCCAGCAACACCCUUCCCAAGGCGCCCCUGUGCCGGCAGCCCUGCAUAGAAACUCCCUUUUGUAAGCUAUACCAGCUUUUCCUGACACAUAUAACGGCUACGCUGCCUCUCUUCGCGCCCUUCUCCAGCACCCCCGCCUGUUUUCUUCCUUCGUUCUACACGAACUAGUCCGGAUCCCUUUGCAGCUGCUUGCCACUCCCACUACAGGAUGCCUCUUUGUUGUUGCAUUUCCGGGACAUACAUACACACACGCGAUGCUCCCCCAGCCU